GUGCUCGCUUCUGCAGCACAUAUAAUAAAAUUGGAACGAUAUACAGAAGAUUUGCAUAGCUUCUGCACAAGAAUGAAACGCAAAAUUCAUGAAGCGUUCCACAAAUUC